CCUCCCUUUCCUCCUCUUCCCCCCUCCCUCCUUUCUCCCUGGGUGAAACACGUGGUGUACAGCCCUGGCUGGGCCACUUUCCACUGUGAGUGUGUAUCUAAUGUUUAGCAAUGGGCUCCUUUCAGAAAAGCCCCCACUGCUGUAUGACAACCUGUCUACACGAUUUUACAGCUGUCCAACAUUGGGGUUUUGCUGUUUUGCAGCCUUAGUGUGUCCCCUUUAAACAAAAACAACUGUGCUGCUGUUUUUUCCACCUUUAACACUGAGUCCCCCUUGUCGUCGAUCGGCUCGGGAACAAAUGAGAGUGGUCGUCGGAGGAAGAGGAGGCUUUACAGUCUCUUCACUGUUAAAAGGAGAAGAAAAUUAAUUGCAUUCAUUCCCAUUCUCGUUUGACUGCUUCCUCGCAUUCCUCACCAGCUGCAAUACUUUCGACAGCUGCAUGUGGUCAAACGUAGGCAACCAAGCAAAUUGGACAGAAAAAUUACCAUCAAGAUCACCAUUAAAUGAAACAGAGAGAGGAAAAAAGAAAAAAAAAAUCAAGAAAUAUUGGAGAGAGAUUUUCUGUUUUCUCCUUCGGCUCAAAAAAAAAAAAGUGGAAGAAAAAGGGUCUGGGAAGCCACCCCACUUUGUGACAACAAGGCAUGUGUCAAACAAUUACAGGCGGAGGGGAGAGGCGGAUCUAUUCUACUCUAGUGGCUGAGUAUCUCCUUCCUUCUCAAUUCAUUAAAUUGAUAUCAAAGAAUCAUCUCUCUCUG